GCUACCAUGCAGUCGAGCGGAACGAGUUAUCUGAACCUUCGGGGAACGAUAACGGCGUCGAGCGGCGGACGGGUGAGUAAUGCCUAGGAAAUUGCCCUGAUGUGGGGGAUAACCAUUGGAAACGAUGGCUAAUACCGCAUGAUGCCUACGGGCCAAAGAGGGGGACCUUCGGGCCUCUCGCGUCAGGAUAUGCCUAGGUGGGAUUAGCUAGUUGGUGAGGUAAGGGCUCACCAAGGCGACGAUCCCUAGCUGGUCUGAGAGGAUGAUCAGCCACACUGGAACUGAGACACGGUCCAGACUCCUACGGGAGGCAGCAGUGGGGAAUAUUGCACAAUGGGCGCAAGCCUGAUGCAGCCAUGCCGCGUGUGUGAAGAAGGCCUUCGGGUUGUAAAGCACUUUCAGUCGUGAGGAAGGUAGUGUAGUUAAUAGCUGCAUUAUUUGACGUUAGCGACAGAAGAAGCACCGGCUAACUCCGUGCCAGCAGCCGCGGUAAUACGGAGGGUGCGAGCGUUAAUCGGAAUUACUGGGCGUAAAGCGCAUGCAGGUGGUUUGUUAAGUCAGAUGUGAAAGCCCGGGGCUCAACCUCGGAAUAGCAUUUGAAACUGGCAGACUAGAGUACUGUAGAGGGGGGUAGAAUUUCAGGUGUAGCGGUGAAAUGCGUAGAGAUCUGAAGGAAUACCGGUGGCGAAGGCGGCCCCCUGGACAGAUACUGACACUCAGAUGCGAAAGCGUGGGGAGCAAACAGGAUUAGAUACCCUGGUAGUCCACGCCGUAAACGAUGUCUACUUGGAGGUUGUGGCCUUGAGCCGUGGCUUUCGGAGCUAACGCGUUAAGUAGACCGCCUGGGGAGUACGGUCGCAAGAUUAAAACUCAAAUGAAUUGACGGGGGCCCGCACAAGCGGUGGAGCAUGUGGUUUAAUUCGAUGCAACGCGAAGAACCUUACCUACUCUUGACAUCCAGAGAACUUUCCAGAGAUGGAUUGGUGCCUUCGGGAACUCUGA
rnacentral:rRNA from 1 species